rnacentral:rRNA from 1 species
GACAGAGGUGCCGAGCGUUAGGCGGAAUCACUGGGCUUAAAGCGUGUGUAGGCGGACUUCUAAGUACCUUGUGAAAUCCCACGGCUCAACCGUGGAACUGCUCGGUAUACUGGUCGUCUUGAGCCACUUAGGGGCAGUCGGAACAGACGGUGGAGCGGUGAAAUGCGUAGAUAUCUGGAGGAACACCGGUGGCGAAGGCGGCAUCCUGGACCGGUAUUGACGCGUGAGGCGCGAAAGCCAGGGGAGCAAACGGG